GACAGCAGCAGCCACGGUAAUACGAAGGGGGCUAGCGUUGCUCGGAAUCACUGGGCGUAAAGGGUGCGUAGGCGGGUUUUUAAGUCAGAGGUGAAGUCCUGGAGCUCAACUCCAGAACUGCCUUUGAUACUGAAAGUCUUGAGUAUGGGAGAGGUGAGUGGAACUGCGAGUGUAGAGGUGAAAUUCGUAGAUAUUCGCAAGAACACCAGUGGCGAAGGCGGCUCACUGGCCCAUAACUGACGCUGAGGCACGAAAGCGUGGGGAGCAAACAGGAUUAGAUACCCCAGUAGUCCCUGUCUCUUAUAC
rnacentral:rRNA from 1 species